ensembl:miRNA xtr-mir-205a xtr-mir-205a
CCACGUGUCCUGCUGUCCUUCAUUCCACCGGAGUCUGUCUCAUACAUAAUCAGAUUUCAGUGGAGUGAAGCACAAGAGGCAUGUAG